rnacentral:rRNA from 1 species
AUUGAACGCUGGCGGCAUGCUUUACACAUGCAAGUCGAACGGUAACAGGCCUUCGGGUGCUGACGAGUGGCGAACGGGUGAGUAAUGCAUCGGAACGUACCCAGAGGUGGGGGAUAACGCAGCGAAAGCUGUGCUAAUACCGCAUGUGAUCUGAGGAUGAAAGCGGGGGACCGAGCAGCAAUGUUUGGCCUCGCGCCUUUGGAGCGGCCGAUGUCGGAUUAGCUAGUUGGUGGGGUAAAGGCCUACCAAGGCGACGAUCCGUAGCUGGUCUGAGAGGACGACCAGCCACACUGGGACUGAGACACGGCCCAGACUCCUACGGGAGGUAGCAGUGGGGAAUUUUGGACAAUGGGCGCAAGCCUGAUCCAGCAAUGCCGCGUGCGGGAAGAAGGCCUUCGGGUUGUAAACCGCUUUUGGCAGGAACGAAACGGUGUCCGCUAAUACCGGGCGCUAAUGACGGUACCUGCAGAAUAAGCACCGGCUAACUACGUG